UAAGGAAUAUUGGUCAAUGGGCGGAAGCCUGAACCAGCCAUGCCGCGUGCAGGAAGACGGCCCUAUGGGUUGUAAACUGCUUUUAUACUGGAAUAAACCUGCUUAUGUAUAAGUAGCUGAAUGUACAGUAAGAAUAAGGAUCGGCUAACUCCGUGCCAGCAGCCGCGGUAAUACGGAGGAUCCAAGCGUUAUCCGGAUUUAUUGGGUUUAAAGGGUGCGUAGGUGGUUCAUUAAGUCAGGGGUGAAAGACGGCAGCUUAACUGUCGCAGUGCCUUUGAUACUGAUGAACUUGAAUGAACUAGAGGUAGGCGGAAUGUGACAAGUAGCGGUGAAAUGCAUAGAUAUGUCACAGAACACCAAUUGCGAAGGCAGCUUACUAUGGUUUGAUUGACACUGAGGCACGAAAGCGUGGGGAUCAAACAG
rnacentral:rRNA from 1 species